rnacentral:rRNA from 1 species
AAAAUGACUCUCGGCAACGGAUAUCUCGGCUCUUGCAUCGAUGAAGAACGCAGCGAAAUGCGAUACUUGGUGUGAAUUGCAGAAUCCCGUGAACCAUCGAGUCUUUGAACGCAAGUUGCGCCCAAAGCCAUUAGGCYGAGGGCACGCCUGCCUGGGUGUCAC